AGUGAACGCUGGCGGUAGGCCUAACACAUGCAAGUCGAACGGCAGCACAGUAAGAGCUUGCUCUUACGGGUGGCGAGUGGCGGACGGGUGAGGAAUACAUCGGAAUCUACUUUUUCGUGGGGGAUAACGUAGGGAAACUUACGCUAAUACCGCAUACGACCUACGGGUGAAAGCAGGGGAUCUUCGGACCUUGCGCGAUUGAAUGAGCCGAUGUCGGAUUAGCUAGUUGGCGGGGUAAAGGCCCACCAAGGCGACGAUCCGUAGCUGGUCUGAGAGGAUGAUCCGCCCCACUGAAACUGAGACACGGCCAAGACUCCUAGGGGGGGCAGAGGGGGGGAAUUUUGGAAAAUGGGGGCAAGCCUGAUCCAGCCAUCCCGGGGGGGUGAAGAAGGCCUUGGGGUUGUAAAGCCCUUUUGUUGGGAAAAAAAAGCAGCAGGUUAAUCCCCCGCUGUUCUGACGGUACCCAAAGAAAAAGCACCGGCUAACUUCGU
rnacentral:rRNA from 1 species